rnacentral:rRNA from 1 species
AUACCGGAUAAUAUUUUGAACCGCAUGGUUCAAAAGUGAAAGACGGUCUUGCUGUCACUUAUAGAUGGAUCCGCGCUGCAUUAGCUAGUUGGUAAGGUAACGGCUUACCAAGGCAACGAUGCAUAGCCGACCUGAGAGGGUGAUCGGCCACACUGGAACUGAGACACGGUCCAGACUCCUACGGGAGGCAGCAGUAGGGAAUCUUCCGCAAUGGGCGAAAGCCUGACGGAGCAACGCCGCGUGAGUGAUGAAGGUCUUCGGAUCGUAAAACUCUGUUAUUAGGGAAGAACAUAUGUGUAAGUAACUGUGCACAUCUUGACGGUACCUAAUCAGAAAGCCACGGCUAACUACGUGCCAGCAGCCGCGGUAAUACGUAGGUGGCAAGCGUUAUCCGGAAUUAUUGGGCGUAAAGCGCGCGUAGGCGGUUUUUUAAGUCUGAUGUGAAAGCCCACGGCUCAACCGUGGAGGGUCAUUGGAAACUGGAAAACUUGAGUGCAGAAGAGGAAAGUGGAAUUCCAUGUGUAGCGGUGAAAU